ensembl:lncRNA
CCCAGCUAGAAGAACGUAUCCCACAGACAGGCAACAGCUUUUGGGAUAGGCCCUGUUCCAUUUGUUCAGGACUCACAUGAAGACCAAGCUACACUUCUGCUACAUUUUCAAGGUCAGAGCCACCUAUGGUCACACGUCUAGGAACUGCCUGAGAGUGAAAGCAGAAAUGAACUGUGAACCAGACAUACCUAACCUGUUCAUUUACACAAAUCCCUCACGGACAACCUCCACUCCCACAUUUAAGACAGUUGGAAUUGGGUUUCUGUCACCUACAACUGAAGAUAAAAUUCUGAAUGGCUGGAUUUUUCAGGCAUGGCAUGAUUCAACAACAAAUGGCCACCAACAGACAAUCAGAAACAAUGAGAAGCCAGAAGCUGUAAACAACCCAGAUGUCCCUCAACUGAAGAAUGGAUACAGAAAAUGUGUCUCAUUUACACAGUGGAAUACUAUUCAGCUAUUAAGAAUGAG